CAGCAGCCGCGGUAAUACAGAGGAUGCAAGCGUUAUCCGGAAUGAUUGGGCGUAAAGCGUCUGUAGGUGGCUUUUCAAGUCCGCCGUCAAAUCCCAGGGCUCAACCCUGGACAGGCGGUGGAAACUACCAAGCUGGAGUACGGUAGGGGCAGAGGGAAUUUCCGGUGGAGCGGUGGAAUGCGUUGAGAUCGGAAAGAGCACCAACGGCGAAAGCACUCUGCUGGGCCGACACUGACACUGAGAGACGAAAGCUAGGGGAGCAAAUGGGAUUAGAGACCCCCGUAGUCCCUGUCUCUUAUAC
rnacentral:rRNA from 1 species